rnacentral:rRNA from 1 species
AUUGAACGCUGGCGGCAUGCCUUACACAUGCAAGUCGAACGGCAGCACGGGAGCAAUCCUGGUGGCGAGUGGCGAACGGGUGAGUAAUAUAUCGGAACGUGCCCAGUCGUGGGGAUAACGUAGCGAAAGCUACGCUAAUACCGCAUACGAUCUAUGGAUGAAAGCGGGGGAUCGCAAGACCUCGCGCGAUUGGAGCGGCCGAUAUCAGAUUAGGUAGUUGGUGAGGUAAAGGCUCACCAAGCCGACGAUCUGUAGCUGGUCUGAGAGGACGACCAGCCACACUGGGACUGAGACACGGCCCAGACUCCUACGGGAGGCAGCAGUGGGGAAUUUUGGACAAUGGGCGCAAGCCUGAUCCAGCAAUGCCGCGUGCAGGAUGAGGGCC